rnacentral:rRNA from 1 species
AUUGAACGCUGGCGGCAUGCUUUACACAUGCAAGUCGAACGGUAGCAGGGUGCUUGCACCGCUGACGAGUGGCGAACGGGUGAGUAAUGCGUCGGAACGCACCGAGUAAUGGGGGAUAACGCAGCGAAAGCUGUGCUAAUACCGCAUACGCUCGGAGGAGGAAAGCGGGGGACCUUCGGGCCUCGCGUUAUUCGAGCGGCCGACGUCUGAUUAGCUAGUAGGUGAGGUAAGAGCUCACCUAGGCGACGAUCAGUAGCGGGUCUGAGAGGAUGAUCCGCCACACUGGGACUGAGACACGGCCCAGACUCCUACGGGAGGCAGCAGUGGGGAAUUUUGGACAAUGGGCGCAAGCCUGAUCCAGCCAUGCCGCGUGUCUGAAGAAGGCCUUCGGGUUGUAAAGGACUUUUGUCAGGGAGGAAAUCCUUAGCGCUAAUACCGUUGAGGGAUGACAGUACCUGAAGAAUAAGCACCGGCUAACUACGUGCCAGCCGCCGCAGUAA